rnacentral:rRNA from 1 species
CGUGAGGGAAAGGUGAAAAGAACCCCGGGAGGGGAGUGAAAGAGAACCUGAAACCAUAUGCCUACAAGAAGUCAGAGCCCGUUAAAGGGUGAUGGCGUGCCUUUUGUAGAAUGAACCGGCGAGUUACUGUAUGGAGCGAGGUUAAGCAGGAUAUGCGGAGCCGAAGCGAAAGCGAGUCUUAAGAGGGCGCGAGUUGCAUGCAGUAGACCCGAAACCGGGUGAUCUAGCCAUGACCAGGUUGAAGUUGGGGUAAAACCCGAUGGAGGACCGAACCGACCCCCGUUGAAACGUUGGCGGAUGAGUUGUGGCUAGGGGUGAAAUUCCAAUCGAACCCGGAGAUAGCUGGUUCUCCCCGAAAUAGCUUUAGGGCUAGCGUCGAGAGAAGAGUUGCGUGAAGGUAGAGCACUGAAUAUGUGAUGGCCCCAUCUCGGGGUACUGAGCAUAAUCAAACUGCGAAUGUCACGCCAACAUGCUCGGCAGUCAGACAGCGGGUGAUAAGGUCCGUUGUCAAGAGGGAAACAGCCCAGACCAUCAGCUAAGGUCCCAAAAUGUAUGCUAAGUGGAAAAGGAUGUGGAGAUGUACAGACAACUAGGAGGUUGGCUCAGAAGCAGCCAUCCUUUAAAGAGUGCGUAACAGCUCACUAGUCGAAUGACUCUGCGCCGAUAAUUUACCGGGGCUAAGCAUACUACCGAAGCUAUGGAUCCCAAGGGAUGGUAGGGGAGCGUUCCAUGAACGGAGAAGUACGACCGAAAGGACGUGUGGAGAUCAUGGAAGAGAGAAUGCCGGUGUGAGUAGCGGAACGUGGGUGAGAAUCCCACGCACCGAAAACCCAAGGUUUCCAGAGGAAGGUUCGUCCGCUCUGGGUAAGUCGGGACCUAAGGCGAGGCCGAAAGGCGUAGUCGAUGGACAACAGGUAGAGAUUCCUGUACCCGUAUAUAUGUGAAGGAAUGACGGAGAGAGGAAGCUGCAGCCAGCGGCUGGAAGAGCUGGUGCAAGCGAGAUAUCGGGAUGGCAGGCAAAUCCACCAUCCGAAACGAGAAGGCGUGAAGCGUACGGAAAGCUACGGCGAGUACGGAAGGCAGUGGAGGAACUUCCAAGAAAAGUUUCUAACGUUAAGUAUAUAUGGCCCGUACCGAAAAUGGACACACAUGGGUGAGGAGAGAAUCCUAAGGUGAGCGAGAGAACUAUAGCUAAGGAACUCUGCAAAAUGACUCCGUAACUUAGGGAGAAGGAGUGCUCAUAGAGAUAUGAGCCGCAGUGAAACGGCCCAAGCGACUGUUUACCAAAAACACAGCUCUCUGCUAAGCCGCAAGGCGAAGUAUAGGGGGUGACGCCUGCCCGGUGCUGGAAGGUUAAGGGGAGGGGUUAACGCAAGUGAAGCCCUGAACUGAAGCCCCAGUAAACGGCGGCCGUAACUAUAACGGUCCUAAGGUAGCGAAAUUCCUUGUCAGGUAAGUUCUGACCCGCACGAAAGGCGUAACGAUUUGGGCGCUGUCUCAGCUGUAGACUCGGUGAAGUCUUAGUACCUGUGAAGAUGCAGGUUACCCGCGACUAGACGGAAAGACCCCAUGGAGCUUCACUGCAGGUUGAUAUUGGGAUUUGAUGCAGCAUGUACAGGAUAGGUAGGAGGCAAAGAGAUGGAUACGCCAGUAUUCAAGGAGCCGCUGUUGGGAUACUACCCCUGUUGUAUUGGAUUUCUAACCGGACGACGUAGAGCCGUUGACGGGACAGUGUCAGUCGGGCAGUUUGACUGGGGCGGUCGCCUCCCAAAGAGUAACGGAGGCGCCCAAAGAUACCCUCAGCUUGGAUGGAAACCAAGCGCAGAGUGCAAAGGCAAAAGGGUGUUUGACUGCGAGACCCACAAGUCGAGCAGGGACGAAAGUCGGGCUUAGUGAUCCGGCGGUGCUGAAUGGAAAGGCCGUCGCUCAACGGAUAAAAGCUACCCUGGGGAUAACAGGCUGAUCUCCCCCAAGAGUCCACAUCGACGGGGAGGUUUGGCACCUCGAUGUCGGCUCAUC